GAGAGAUCUCAUACUCACACACACACACACACAAACACACAAACAAACACACACACCAAACAAAAUACCAAGCAGAUUAUUCUGUGUUCACAAAAACCUAGGCACUUGAAAAACAAACAAACAAAAAAGACAAUGUUGGGAAAAACAUAAAUUAAAAGAGUUUUUCAUCUUUUAUAGGAAACUCACAGGCUGCAGAAUUUCUGGACUAUCAAGCAAGGAAUGAAUAUUGUCACAGAAAAAUUGGGAAAAUGGAAGCAUGGCUCCAUGAACGAGAGGCCCGGGGACAGAUUCUCUGGGACAUUUCCAGCUCAGACUCAGAUGAGCAGGGAAAUGAUGAUAAGAAGCCACGAGCACUGGUGAGGACCAGGACAGAGAGAAUCCCACUUUUCGAUGAAUUUUUUGAUGGAGAAUAAGAGUGUCACUCACUCAGUGAGAUAGUGGGGGCACUGAAAAUUUGUUUUCCUAUCCUUCAAAUUAGAUUUUUUUAUUGACUUUGAGGAAAGCAAUUCACCUUAAUAAACAGGACACUAUUUCGGAGUCUUCUGUCUAGAAGAUCUAUCAUAUAUCUGAUAACUAUUGCUGUAGAACUACCUGCUGCUCAACACUGAGGGGCUGAAACUGUUAAGGUUGGACGAGCGUCAGAGGAAGAGACCACCAAGAGACUGUCUCAUGCAACAGCAGAGGGUUUAUUGGGGGUCCAGCAUGCUGGGGCUCAGAGCUCACUUGAAUGGAGCAGAGAGCCCCCGAGAACAACUUAAGCAGAGCUUAUAUACAUUCUUUGGAGAGGGCAGGGACUUUACAUACAUCACAGCAUCCCUUAGCAAAUCAUCACAUACCGUGGGAAAAUCAAAUAACAACUCUAAAACAUGAUUAGCACAUUCACUGGUGGGAACAAGUUGGGUAGGGGUGAUUGGUCAGCACAAACAAAGGGGUAUAUAUUUGAACUGGUUGGAUUAAGCCCUGAGGUGUGUACGUGCUGAGCUGCAUGGUCUCUGGGAGGGAUUGUUUUUACAGAGUGACCAGAUGGUCAGGAGAGAUUUUUCAACAUACAUUUACUGGUCUCUCCGGGAGUUGUUUUGACCCCUCCAUAAAUUUCAGAUCCCAGGAAAACAGAACUUAAAGAAAUUGUAACUUAACAGAACUUAAAACAAAUCUUAUCCUUUACAUUUUAACCUUUCAAAACAACAGCCAUUCUAUUGUCUCACCCUUCUGUGGGUGGCUGGGCUCAGCAAGGUGACUCUUCUGCUGGUUUCUUUUGAAAUCUCCCAUGUAGUUAAAAUCAGACCAGAGUCUGGACUAGAGUCAUCUGGAAGCUUAAUUAGCACACUGGAAUAGCUGGGCCCUGCCUCUUCUCCAUACAGUCUCAGAGCCACUUCCCAUGGCCUCUGCUGCUGGGUGGAGACAUUUUCUAUGAAGAAAAGGGAUAUCAGCCCUUUUUUUCUAUUAGCCAAGGGCUCCCAAAAGCAAAUGUCCCAAGAAGAAGAAACAGAAGCUGCCAGUCUCGAGGUCUCUAGUCAUGGAACUGGCUCUGCAGUACAUCCAGCACAUCUGUUGGUAAACAGGAGUCAAAUGCCAACAGAAGUGUCUAUGCAGGGCAUGAAUGCCAAACCAUAGUAAUUUGGAGUCCCUCUUAGAACCUUGCUACCACACCAUGCUUUUAAAAGCAAAUUAUACCAUAUAGAAUAAAUAGAUGAGAGAGUAGACUUGAUACAAAUGAAAGUGAAUUUCUAAGAAAAAUCACAAUUACGCUAUAUUGGACACUAAGCUUGUUUAGGUCACAUUUUUGUGAGUUGACCAUAACAGAAAGGCUUCAAGAAAGGAAUGGAAUAAUGUCAGAUGUGAAAGGUCAUUAUGAAUUAAUAAUAGCUCAAAAUUAAGAACUCUUAGAUUAUGAUGUUUAUUUUAGAGCUCUUUGAAACUUAAAGAAUGGGCCUGGAAUUGUAACUCAGUGGUAGAGCACUUGCCUAGCACGUGUGAGGCCCUGGGUUCGAUCCUCAGCACUACAUAAAAAUAAAUAAAUAAAGGUAUUGUGGCCAUCUACAACUAAAAGAAUUUUUUUAAAUAAGUAAAAUAAAACCAAAGGAAAUCUUAGAAAUGUUCAGUCCAGAAGUUGUUCUAUUUGUAAAAAUUAUAUUUUCAUGCAAUUUUUAUGAACUUCCUUUGUAUAUGAUUCAGCUCCAUGUCUAGCAUAGUCUAAAAAAAAUAGCUGAACUGUGGGCACAGAGAAGGAUGAAAGCACCAAGAAAGGCAGAUGAGAGAGUGGAGACAUACUUAGCCCCCUUCAGGAUUUGGCAGGGGAGCAGCAGGAUGAAGCAAUCCAGAAACUUCCAAGAAUCUAAUAAAAUUUUAGAACAGAAUAAUUAAAAAAAACUCUCUUGAAACCUUCAAAUGGAAACUUCAAAAAAGGAAAAAUAGAAAUUCGACAUUAAGUCCAUCCAGACCAAUCUUACUACGAAGACAAAAAGCCUGAUAUGUCAGGGGAUGAGCAUUCAGAUUUUUCCCAAGACAACCCCAUCCCUGGGCACAUCUAUUCCCAGCACUCUGUGAGUACUCCUCCUACUAUUUUUGUACUCAGCAAGAAGCUUAUUUCCAGCAGAUGAAUUUAUAAAUUGUUUGACCAGCUAGAUUUUUCAAAAAAGAUCCUUGAGAGGAUAAAUAAAUGCAGCAACCUCUGCAUAGUGUCCUCAGAUAUUAUGGUGAAACUGGAAAUUUUAAAGUAGGACUGGAAACUCCCAGGGGCUGAAGUCAGAGGGGCAAAGCAUGCCUUUAUUGCUCUGCUCUGUCACUUGAAAUUGGACAAAGCUCCCUUCUGCAAACUCACCGGACUGUGAGCUUCAUGAGGGUACAGACCAUGUCUUCUCCCUGUGGUAUCAACACUUCCUAGCACAACAUCUGUUGC
rnacentral:lncRNA from 1 species